rnacentral:rRNA from 1 species
AUACGGAGGGUGCAAGCGUUACUCGGAAUCACUGGGCGUAAAGCGCGCGCAGGCGGCCAUUUAAGUUGGAUGUGAAAGCCUACGGCUCAACCGUAGAACUGCAUCCAAAACUGUCAGGCUAGAGUGUGGGAGAGGAAGAUGGAAUUAGUUGUGUAGGGGUAAAAUCCGUAGAGAUAACUAGGAAUACCAAAAGCGAAGGCAAUCUUCUGGAACACUACUGACGCUGAGGCGCGAAGGCGUGGGGAGCAAACAGGAUUAGAAACCCCGGUAGUCC